GGAAGAUUAGUCUAAUUGGUAAGACGAUAGUUUGCUAAACUAUUGGCCACAGCCUUACAGGUUCAAAUCCUGUAUCUUCCGCCA
rnacentral:tRNA from 2 species